rnacentral:rRNA from 1 species
AAACCAGCACCUCAAGUGGUCAGGAUGAUUAUUGGGCCUAAAGCAUCCGUAGCCUGCUCUGUAAGUUUUCGGUUAAAUCUGUACGCUCAACGUACAGGCUGUCGGGAAUACUGCAGAGCUAGGGAGUGGGAGAGGUAGACGGUACUCGGGAGGAAGUGGUAAAAUGCUUUGAUCUAUCGAUGACCACCUGUGGCGAAGGCGGUCUACCAGAACACGUUCGACGGUGAGGGAUGAAAGCUGGGGGAGCAAACCGGAUUAGAAACCCGAGUAGUCC